rnacentral:lncRNA from 1 species
AAUGCUGCAAGUUCUCCUCUGGCAGGGAGCAGAGCUUCCAGGCAUUAUGAUCUGUCCUGCCUGUCUGGAUAGAACUUCUGCUCCAUACUAUUGGAUAUUAUGGAUCUUUCAAACAGAAUGCCAAACUAUAAAGAUGUGUGGAACAUGAGCACAACAUAUACUAUGUGAGUAAAGAAGCUACAGGCUGCGGGUAAUAGGAGAACUACUUCAAAGCAGCUAUGGGAAAGCUAAAAGGGGUUAGAAGUAGGGGAAGGUUAUUAGAACGUCAUUAGGCCAUUUCAUGGAACCCAAGAGCAGAAAGGCCACAGAUGUAUGGACUGGAACCAGGAUUGGAGUAUGGGGGAGCCCUGCAUGGAUUGGUGACUUUUUCCCCAGAGUGUGGGUUCAUGCCUCUUUAGCUGCAGAUCAGUACUCUCUACAUAGGUCUAUAGGACAGAAAAGGAUGGCCAAGAGCUCCUGAAUUUUACAUGUUCCAGUCCAGGGACUAAAGAGAUUUCUCUUUCCAACCCAGUCUACAAAAUUGAUGAGGAAGAAACAGAAAUUUCCCCAGGUCA